rnacentral:rRNA from 1 species
CCUACGGGGGGCAGCAGUGAGGAAUAUUGCACAAUGGGCGAAAGCCUGAUGCAGCGACGCCGCGUGGAGGAUGAAGGUUUUCGGAUUGUAAACUCCUGUUAAGUGGGAAGAAAAGUUCAUUUCUAAUACAGAUGAGCAAUGACGGUACCACUAGAGAAAGCACCGGCUAACUUCGUGCCAGCAGCCGCGGUAAUACGAGGGGUGCAAGCGUUAUUCGGAAUAAUUGGGCGUAAAGGGUGCGUAGACGGCAUUUUAAGUCAACUGUUAAAUUUCUC